UACGUAGGUGGCAAGCGUUGUCCGGAUUUAUUGGGUUUAAAGGGUGCGUAGGUGGGUCUGUAAGUCAGUGGUGAAAUCUCCGUGCUUAACAUGGAAACUGCCAUUGAUACUAUAGGUCUUGAAUUUUCUGGAGGUCAGCGGAAUAUGUCAUGUAGCGGUGAAAUGCUUAGAUAUGACAUAGAACACCAAUUGCGAAGGCAGCUGGCUACAGGGAUAUUGACACUGAGGCGCGAAAGCGUGGGGAUCAAACAGG
rnacentral:rRNA from 1 species